rnacentral:rRNA from 1 species
AUACAGAGGGUGCGAGCGUUAAUCGGAAUUACUGGGCGUAAAGCGCGCGUAGGCGGCUACUUAAGUCAGAUGUGAAAUCCCCGGGCUCAACCUGGGAACUGCAUCUGAUACUGGGUAGCUAGAGUUUAGGAGAGGGAAGUAGAAUUUCAGGUGUAGCGGUGAAAUGCAUAGAGAUCUGAAGGAAUACCAGUGGCGAAGGCGGCUUCCAGGCCUAAAACUGACGCUGAGGUGCGAAAGCGUGGGUAGCAAACGGGAUUAGAAACCCCAGUAGUCC